GACGAACGCUGGCGGCGUGCUUAACACAUGCAAGUCGAACGGAAAGGCCCUGCUUUUGUGGGGUGCUCGAGUGGCGAACGGGUGAGUAACACGUGAGUAACCUGCCCUUGACUUUGGGAUAACUUCAGGAAACUGGGGCUAAUACCGGAUAGGAGCUCCUGCUGCAUGGUGGGGGUUGGAAAGUUUCGGCGGUUGGGGAUGGACUCGCGGCUUAUCAGCUUGUUGGUGGGGUAGUGGCUUACCAAGGCUUUGACGGGUAGCCGGCCUGAGAGGGUGACCGGCCACAUUGGGACUGAGAUACGGCCCAGACGGCUACGGGAGGCAGAAGUGGGGAAUAUUGCACAAUGGGCGGAAGCCUGAUGCAGAAACGCCGGGUGCGGGAUGACGGCCUUCGGGUUGUAAACCGCUUUCGCCUGUGACGAAGCGGGAGUGACGGUAAUGGGUAAAGAAGCACCGGCUAACUACGUG
rnacentral:rRNA from 1 species